UACAGAGGGUGCAAUCGUUAAUCGGAAUUACUGGGCGUCAAGCGCGCGUAGGUGGUUGGUUAAGUUGGAUGUGAAAGCCCCGGGCUCAACCUGGGACCUGCAUCCAAAACUGGCCGACUAGAGUACAGCAGAGGGUGGUGGAAUUUCCUGUGUAGCGGUGAAAUGCGUAGAUAUAGGAAGGACCACCAGUGGCGAAGGCGACCACCUGGACUGAUACUGACACUGAGGUGCGAAAGCGUGGGGAGCAAACAGG
rnacentral:misc_RNA from 1 species